rnacentral:sRNA from 13 species
GUGUGUGUGUGUGUUUUGUGUUUAUAUGCAUAUGUGUGUACGUGUAAGCUGGUAUGUUUGUGCUAGAGGAAGAGGGCGGUGAGAAUGAAGCACUACGUACGUAUCUACCAUAAAGACGACGCGGCCCUAAGCUGUUUAGUUUUACGACCACUUUACAGUAAUUGUGUGUGUGCGUGUGUGUGUGAUUUUUUAAUUUCCCAUUACAAUGGGAUGUAGUUAGAUUGACGACGGUUCUGUGUUUAUUAUUAUUCAUGAGACCAUCUCGACUCGGGUGGAGUAUACACGCAUAAAAGAAAAGAGUACAGAUGUGUUUGCUUAUAGAACUGUAGAAAGAACAACAAAAGCUACACAACAAACAAGUACUGAUUGAAAUACUUGCGAGGAGACAAAGAAGACUGAACGACAAAUAAUUCAGAAUGACUUUCCCUAAGAGAAUGAUUUUAAGUUUGACACUUGCAGUAUUACUACUAGGAAUAACGAAUACUACCAGCCUGACAGGAACUACAGAAACCACCAUCAUGCCAUCUGAUUCUGCAACCAUCAUGCCAUCUGGUUCUGCAACCAUCAUGCCAUCUGGUUCUGGAACCAUCAUGUCAUCUAGUUCUGAAACCGCCCAAACCGUUAGUACUAUGAGUACCUCGGCAUCUGCAACAUUUUCAAUAUCUCCUUCCUCAACCGACUCAACAUUAAGAACUGAUUUGGCGGAUGCCAGUUCUUUAACCCCUCUCC